rnacentral:rRNA from 1 species
GAUGAACGCUGGCGGCGUGCCUAAUACAUGCAAGUCGAGCGAACGGACGAGAAGCUUGCUUCUCUGAUGUUAGCGGCGGACGGGUGAGUAACACGUGGAUAACCUACCUAUAAGACUGGGAUAACUUCGGGAAACCGGAGCUAAUACCGGAUAAUAUUUUGAACCGCAUGGUUCAAAAGUAAAAGACGGUCUUGCUGUCACUUAUAGAUGGAUCCGCGCUGCAUUAGCUAGUUGGUAAGGUAACGGCUUACCAAGGCAACGAUGCAUAGCCGACCUGAGAGGGUGCUCGGCCACCCUGGAACUGAGACACGGUCCAGACUCCUACGGGAGGCAGCAGUAGGGAAUCUUCCGCAAUGGGCGAAAGCCUGACGGAGCAACGCCGCGUGAGUGAUGAAGGUCUUCGGAUCGUAAAACUCUGUUAUUAGGGAAGAACAUAUGUGUAAGUAACUGUGCACAUCUUGACGGUACCUAAUCAGAAAGCCACGGCUAACUACGUG